rnacentral:rRNA from 1 species
AUGCUCACCCCCCCUCCUCGCCCCCUCCCCGCCAAGCUGCAUGCAUGGCUUUGGAGCACGCCCUCUUCCCGCCGCUGGCUCAAUCCUCCAUGCCCCUGCCUGGUCACAUCGCCGCUGCGUGCAGGCCAGCCACGCCGUACCCCAAAAAUCUCGCACUCUCCCAAGGCCGCGCAGCUGCCUCCUCUCCCGGGUCCUCUUUAUCUAUGCAACGCCGCCCGGCCUCCUCGCAUCUCAUCCAAGCCAUCGUGUUUCCGGUGUAGAGCGAGUGACCAUCUUGUGAGAGCUUGCCGCGACCCACUCCGUUGUGCUCGCUGUGGCCAGAACGGCCAUAAGGCUUUCGAGUGCACCUCCCGCCUUCCCCUCGCAUUCCUCCGCCCACCCUUCCACCGACCACCAGCAACCCUGAGGACCCAAGAGGCCGUGUCCCAUGAUGACGCCGCUGUCGGGCAGGAGCGGGUGCUCUGCUUUGGCUCGUACCGCGUCCUCCUCGAUGAGCCACCCGCCCUCUCCCCGUCCGUCACCUUCCCCGGCCUGCCUCGCUCCACUCCGUCCUCUGAUGGUGACUCCGCCCCCGCCUCUCAACGGGCCUCGCCGCCGGAUUCGCGCCUCGCCUCGGUCGGCAGCAACAAUGGUGCGCCUACCGCGGUGCCCCCACCUGGUGACGCCCCUUCGGUCGAGCGGCCGCAGGGCGCAGGCUCGCCGCGCCCCACCCCCAUCAGUGGCGGCCCAUCCAGCCCGCCCCUAUCCCGGACAUCUUCGUCUCCCACGGGCUCGUCCACGACGUCAGCCACUUCGCGCUCGCCCACGUCAACACCGCCAUGCUGGACACGCACGAGUUCAUCCGCCUACUCUUCGACAACCGCCUUGCCUCGGCCACCUUCCACUUCGCGGCCGUCUCGGGGUGCGCUGCCCUCCUUGUGUUCGACGACGAGGAGGGUCGUGCGGAGGCUCUCUACCUCUUCCCCAUGGACUUCCUGGGGAUCCACGUCGAGCUUCUCCGCCCGGAGGACGCGGAAAACCGCUCAACCACUACGUACGACCGCCUCGUCGAGCUCGACGCGUCCGGCUACCCGCUGGAGCUGUGGCAUCACCAAGGUGCUAACUUCGUCUUCGGCCACCUUGGGCUCCUCUGCUGCGUCGACCGCCGUUGCCUCCACCCCAGCGACUUCUCGACCAUGCGAGCCUUCGUCCAAGUGGAGUCCAGCGUCAACGUCCCCGACCGCUGCAUCCUGCGUCUCCCCCCAACCAAAUCGUUGA